rnacentral:misc_RNA from 1 species
AAGGCUAGCACCAUUUACAUGCCCUGAUCCAGGGUUUCCCCCAUCCCCGUACAAAUGGCGGGAUGAAGUGGUUGGGAUUGUCGCCGGCGCCUGUAGUGGGCUGCUUCGGCGGGUGCAUAUGACAACAAACGCGAUCGCUGGGAUGACACGUGAUCGAUGAAUGCCACACACUGUGGGUCCGAGACACAGCCCGUUCGCUCCCUCUCGUGUGGGGGUGGGAGACGCCCCGUGCGGGGUGGGGGUGUGUGCUCACGUUGUGUGGGGUGUGGUGUUGAUCGGUGGAUAAUGGUGCAU